rnacentral:misc_RNA from 1 species
GCGGUUGGUCAAUAUAUAUUCAUCUUGGACAACUCAUUUCAAAUCCUAGUAGAAAAUGGACAAAUUGACAUUAUUAGACUCAUAUUAUAUCAUAAAUGAAGUACAAGGCUCAAAUUAUGCAUUUCCAAAAGUACCAAUGUCCCAGGUAUUGAAGAAAGAAAUAUCAUGGAGUUUCAGAACGCCAAGAGCCCUCGCUAGCCUUAGGGACAGAAAGCAAAAAUAUAUAGCUAGGAGCCCAAUGCCAAGAGACUUGUCUAGCCUCAUGUUUUUUCUGGGCAAAAUCACAAGGGCCCAGAGCAAGCCUGCCAUCAAAAACAAUAAGGUCUCAUAGAGAGAAGGAUCUUUGGGUAUGACAAAAGAAGAUGGGUAUUUGGACCAUGAUGAGAUAACAAAUGACAAGCCCAAUCCCAGCAAUGUAUUGAACAUUGGACCAGCAUAGCAGCCUGAAAUAGCAAUUUGGGCACCAUCUGCCCCACCAUUCACUGCCAUAGUCACAUUGGCUAUCAGAUCUCCAAGUGAGUUGCCCCAAGCCAGGACAGUGAGCCCAAGAACUGAUGGGUCAAUCCCAAAUACAUACCCUAGUGAAACCAACAGAGAGACCAGCUCCUCAGCUAUAAUAUAUGUCCAAGUUAUACUCAUUAAAAACCCACCAACUAGCCAAAGGAACAGACACUUGUUUGGUGGGCUAGACUUCUUAGUGGAGACAAAUGCAAGAUUUCCAAGAAACAUUCCUAUAAACCCUGCCGUCAUGUAGAUCACUAGGCUGCUUCUAGAACCCAAUUUUUUUUCUCUUUGGGUGUCACAUAGUGCUGCCAGUAGAAGUGGUGCCAAUGUCACAGAUGUAACUGCAUAGGGCUUAGACCAUCUCUCCUCACUAGCAACAGGUAUAGUCAACCUUCUUGGCAAGUACAGAGGUAGCUCCAAAACAUAUAAAAACCUACCCAAGUAGUAAAAAAAAGAUGAAUCAAGACUGAAGCACAUUGGACUUCUUUCCUCAUCUUCAAGACUGGUUUUGUCAACCAAAAUGGGCUUUUCAUCAUCAACAUAACCAAGUAAUGGUAUACCCAUCUCCACAACAUCCCCCUGGCUAUCAGUGAUGAGAAUUUUUGAAGAUAGAGAAUUGGCUAAUGGGUUCACUUUCUCUUCUUUCCUAAAGAGAAAGUGCAUAAGGCAAACCACACAAACAUAAAAGAAGUAAAUAGAUAGGAAUGAAAUGGCAGCCCACAAGGUAAUUUUUCCUAUAACAAUGAUCAAGAGAAGAGAACAAAGAGACAAAAGAAAGAAGGAGACAUCUCUAAUGAAGCUAGAUUUAUCAAUUGAAAUCUCUUGGGCACUUACUAAUGUACUUAUUACACCAACCACAGUACUAGACACAAAAAAUGCUCCACCCAAAACACUAUUUAGGCCAACAUCACCAUUGCUAGAACUAGUAAAGGAAACAAUACUAGCAAAAACAUCAGGAGCACCAUUGCCAAGAGAAAGAAGGGUGACACCAGCGAUAGUUGGAGAGAGCUUCAAGAUUUUGGAUAAGUUCUCUAAGGAGGAGCAGAAAUAUUCUGCAGCUGUGUUACCCAAAAGAUAGAAUAGAACAACAAGCCAUAAUAAUAAAAUAGCAUGGCCAAGUACAGGAUGUUGACCACAAGUGCAAUAAAAGAUUUGGAGAUAGUUUAUGUACCCUUUUGGCCUGCACCCUAUAUGAGACCUGAGAUACAUGCACUUGGAUUUGGAAUCUGUAUGUUCAUGAAGUCCUGUGCAGCCAUUGCUCCUUAUCAAUUCUUGAAGUGAUAGAGAAUGGCUUGUGUCCGCCUCAUAGUUAGAUUGCUCGUGAAAAUAUGAGAUCGUGAUAUAGAAAACGAAGAGGAAAAAAAAGGAGGUGUUAAGGAAAAGAAUUAGUUUUUUGGGCUGAGAUUUGGUGUUGAAACUCGCCAUUCAAAAGGAAGCUUGUGGAGAAGGAGAGUUACAGGUGCAGAUAUUGAGAAGUGAAGUCCAUAAAAUUGAGGGACUUCUGGC